rnacentral:rRNA from 1 species
CCUACGGGAGGCAGCAGUGGGGAAUUUUGGACAAUGGGCGCAAGCCUGAUCCAGCAAUGCCGCGUGAGUGAAGAAGGCCUUCGGGUUGUAAAGCUCUUUUGUCAGGGAAGAAACGGUUGUUCCUAAUACGGAUGGCUAAUGACGGUACCUGAAGAAUAAGCACCGGCUAACUACGUGCCAGCAGCCGCGGUAAUACGUAGGGUGCAAGCGUUAAUCGGAAUUACUGGGCGUAAAGCGUGCGCAGGCGGUUAUAUAAGUCAGAUGUGAAAUCCCCGGGCUCAACCUGGGAACUGCAUUUGAGACUGUAUGGCUAGAGUGUGUCAGAGGGGGGUAGAAUUCCACGUGUAGCAGUGAAAUGCGUAGAUAUGUGGAGGAAUACCGAUGGCGAAGGCAGCCCCCUGGGAUAACACUGACGCUCAUGCACGAAAGCGUGGGGAGCAAACAGGAUUAGAUACCCUGGUAGUCCACGCCCUAAACGAUGUCUACUAGUUGUCGGGACUUAAUUGUCUUGGUAACGCAGCUACGCGUGAAGUAGACCGCCUGGGGAAGUACGGUCGCAAGUAUUAAAACUUCAAAUUGAGUUGNGGNGNGAGAGNGCGAGACGACGACGAGGAGGAGG